rnacentral:lncRNA from 1 species
GACAGUCUUAUUAUGCACUCCAGGCUCUCAAACUCUGGCUUCUCAUGCUGCAAACUCUCAAAUGCUGAGGCUACAGGCAUUGCUGGUCUGUGCCACCACACCAGACAAGAGCAGUUAAGAGUAUCAAUACAGCCUGCUUUUAAAACUAAGUAAACAAAAUGGAACGGGGAGGGGAAAGGACCACCAACAACAGCAUCAAGCAUGAGACUCUUCUUGGGAACAGCUGUGCCUCUAGGCAGACAGAUGAAUCCAGGUGGCCUUUGAUGUCUCUCGGAGCAGAGUAUUGUGAUGAGUCCUGGCCUCCCUGGAGCUUUUUCAUCAUCCCUAAAUUGGAAUCUGCUGCAGAAGCCGUUAUCAGCAACCUCGAGCACACUUUCCGGAACAGCAGCUAGAAACCCAAAUAAAUGCUCUCAUUUCCCAAAUGCUUGACUCGGGAAUGUGAGCCACUGAGUCACAGCUCUUGACUUCAGGGUGACCUGGCUUUUGAGGUGCUGGCCUGAGUCAUACCACCUGACCCUACACCAUUUGUGUUCUUGGCAACUGACAUCGUCUCUGUGUAAGCCAGGCUCCUUCCUCACACUGGGGCUGCUCGAGAAUUUCGCAAUGUGCAGGGCUCAAUGGAUGGACCACGGAGAUCCUUAAGCACAAUGGAAUCAAAGAUGCCAGCAACUGUUGCCACUUGCUCCUUUGAAACAGUUUUUGAAAAACCCUGUAAGCCUGGCUGAGAAAAGGCAAAUAGCCUUUAGUGAAUCAGUUUGGCAAGCCAACCCGGAUAGAAGAUAAAUGUGCUGCAAGCACAUUUAGCAGCAACAGGACAAAACCACAGGUAGUUCAUAGGCACAACAGAGGAGCCUAUUCUGCUACCGAGCCCUUCCUGGGGAAUACCUGCUCCCCAACUGACCUCUCCACAGGCCCUUUCUAGCACCUUGUCUAGGAUGAGAUAGGCACAUUAUUGAAUCCUAAUGCUCUUCAAAGGCUGAUCUGGUUUUCAAGUGGGCCGGUGUCCACCUUCAUCUUUAUUGUGAUCAUUGACCCCAUUGGUCCUCUGGUCGUAUUUCUGGUACCGUGUUCUCUAUGGGUAAGGAAAGGAACUGCAGAUCCAAUGGCCCUUCAGAGACUUCGGUGAAAAAUGCACAUGAUGUUCGGCUGUUCUGGUAAUGAAAUAGAUGCACAUUAAAAACAACAGUGACGUGUCUACACCAGCGUCUGUAGACACGGCUCCAGAGUAAAGCACUUGCUAUGCAAUCAGGCUCUGAGCUCAGAUCCCUAGCAAGCAUGUAAUAGCCUGGUGUGAUAGUCCCAUCCUAGUAACUUAAACCUAGACCCUUCCACCUCGUGAUCCGUCUUCCAGGACUUCACCCCAGCCACUAAGCCUCAUAUAUAAGCUUUUGUAAUGUCAUGGUUCAUAACGGGUAGGCUCUGAGAAAUGACCACUGGACAGGUGGGGGUCGGGGUGCAUGAUAAAGCCAUCAAACAAAGUGUGUGAGAUUCAGUCUUCCUGUCACAUGCCCAGCUACAGAAGAAAACAAAAUAUUACUUGCAGAGUAAAAUAUCUAAUACUACCUCAGGGUUUGGAAGGAGCCACAUGAAAAUGGCAAUGGAGUCACAUCCUGGAGACUGGAUAGGCUCAUUUUUAUUUUUGCAUCUAUAUUUUUCCCUAUUCUCCAUUUGAUUAGAAAGUAUGUUACUUUAAUAAAAACUUUUUAAUCAAAAGUU